rnacentral:rRNA from 1 species
GACGAACGCUGGCGGCGUGCUUAACACAUGCAAGUCGUACGGUAAGGCCCUUUCGGGGGUACACGAGUGGCGAACGGGUGCGUAACACGUGAGUAACCUGCCCACAACUUUGGGAUAACGCUAGGAAACUGGUGCUAAUACUGGAUAUGUGCUCCUGCUGCAUGGUGGGGGUUGGAAAGCUCCGGCGGUUGUGGAUGGACUCGCGGCCUAUCAGCUUGUUGGUGGGGUAGUGGCCUACCAAGGCGGCGACGGGUAGCCGGCCUGAGAGGGUGACCGGCCACAUUGGGACUGAGAUACGGCCCAGACUCCGACGGGAGGCAGCAGUGGGGAAUAUUGCACAAUGGGCGCAAGCCUGAUGCAGCAACGCCGCGGGCGGGAUGACGGCCUUCGGGUUGUAAACCGCUUUCAGCAGGGACGAAGCUUUUUGUGACGGUACCUGCAGAAGAAGCACCGGCUAACUACGUG